UACAGAGGGGGCAAGCGUUGUUCGGAAUUACUGGGCGUAAAGGGCGCGUAGGCGGCCUGUUAAGUCGAACGUGAAAUCCCCGGGCUCAACCCGGGAACUGCGUCCGAUACUGGCAGGCUUGAAUUCGGGAGAGGGAUGCGGAAUUCCAGGUGUAGCGGUGAAAUGCGUAGAUAUCUGGAGGAACACCGGUGGCUAAGGCGGCUCUCUAGUACGGUACUGACGCUGAGACGCGAAAGCGUGGGGGAGCGAAACAGG
rnacentral:rRNA from 1 species